rnacentral:rRNA from 1 species
UACGUACAAGCAGUGGGAGCCUCUUUAUGGGGUGACUGCGUACCUUUUGUAUAAUGGGUCAGCGACUUAUAUUCUGUAGCAAGGUUAACCGAAUAGGGGAGCCGAAGGGAAACCGAGUCUUAACUGGGCGUUAAGUUGCAGGGUAUAGACCCGAAACCCGGUGAUCUAGCCAUGAGCAGGUUGAAGGUUGGGUAACACUAACUGGAGGACCGAACCGACUAAUGUUGAAAAAUUAGCGGAUGACUUGUGGCUGGGGGUGAAAGGCCAAUCAAACCGGGAGAUAGCUGGUUCUCCCCGAAAGCUAUUUAGGUAGCGCCUCGUGAAUUCAUCUCCGGGGGUAGAGCACUGU